rnacentral:ncRNA from 1 species
CUGGUUGAUCCUGCCAAUAGUCAUAUGCUUGUCUCAAAGAUUAAGCCAUGCAUGUCUAAGUACAUGCUGUAUUAAGGUGAAACUGUGAAUGGCUCAUUAAAUCAGUUAUGGUUCUUUGGAUCGUACCUUACUACUUGGAUAACUGUGGCAAUUCUAGAGCUAAUAGAUGCAGCAUAGUUUCGACCCUCUGGGGACGAGCGCUUUUAUUAGACCAAAAUCGGACCUUGUAUCCAUAUUAUGUGCCGACUCUGUAUAACUUUGGGCUGAUUGCACGGGCUCAUCCCAGUGAUAUAUCUUUCAAGUGUCUGCCUUAUCAACUGUUGAUGGUAGGUUACAUGCCUACCAUGGUCAUAACGGAUGAUGGAGAAUCAGGGUUCGAUUCCAGAGAGGGAGCCUGAGAAGUAGCUACCAUAUCCAAGGAAGACAGCAGGCGUGCAAAUUACCCACUCCCAGAAUGGGGAGAUAGUGAUGAAAAAUAAUAAUAUGGGACUCUUGAAACCACGUAAUUGGAAUGAGUACACUCUAAAUCCUUUAACGAGGAUCAAUUGGAGGAGAAGUCUGGUGCCAGCAGCCGUUGUAAUUCCAGCUCCAAUAGUGUAUAUUAAAGUUGUUGUGGUUAAAAAGGCUUGCAGUUGGAUCUCAGUUCCAGGUGGGUGGUUUGCCUACUGAUGGUUACUUCCUGUUCUGAACAUUUAUUGAAUUUUAUUUAAGAACAAAAUAGCUUGUGAUUUAAUGUAGAAGUUUUAAAAAGACAGCAUGUGAAUUACAACAUUAUAUUUUUGUAAAAUAUCAUUGAUGUGAUUGAAGUUAUGGUAUUGUAAAAUAUGGUUUUUAAAUUUGUUUUUACAACUUUUUAAGAUGCAAACAUCAGCUUAUAACCAUAGGAAGAAUACAAAGCAAAGUGAAAUAUUUUA